AUUGAACGCUGGCGGCAGGCUUAACACAUGCAAGUCGAACGGUAACAGGAAACUGCUUGCUGUUUCGCUGACGAGUGGCGGACGGGUGACACAUGUCUGGGCAACUGCCUGCUGGAGGGGAAUAACUACUGGCAACGGUUGCUACUACCGCAUAGCGUCGCAAGCACAGUGAGGGGGGGCAACGGGCCUCUUGUCAUGGGCUGUGCCCAGAUGGGAUGAUCUAGUAGGGGGGGUUACGGCACACCUAGGCGACGAUCUCGAUAUGGUGGGAGGGGAGGACAACCCACAUGGGAACUGAAACACGGUCCAGACUCCUACGGUAGGCAGCAGUGGGGAAUAUUGCACAAUGGGCGCAAGCCUGAUGCAGCCAUGCCGCGUGUAUGAAGAAGGCCUUCGGGUUGUAAAGUACUUUCAGCGGGGAUGAAGGGAGUAAAGUUAAUACCAUGGCUCAUUGACGGUACCCGCAGAAGAAGCACCGGCUAACUCCGUG
rnacentral:rRNA from 1 species